AACUGUAAUAAAUAAUUCCAUUCUUCAUAUAUUUGGAUAAAAAUAUUUUCCCAAUAUUAUUAAAGAAUUUCAUAUGUAGUAAAACAUAUACAAACCUUUAACUUUUAAUUUUAUUACGUAAAAAGAUGCUUUUAAUUAUGUUUUUUUUUUACUGAAUGUCUACAAUAGUAAUAACGUUUAUGGGUUGAAAAUAUUGUGCAUCGUUCAAGAAGUUCUAGAUGACAACGACUUGCAGCAGUCCAUUAAAAUACUUCUUUUUCAUACAGUUUAUAACGUAGACUCUCCGUAAACUUAUACUCCGCCUCUUAGUGACGUAUUGCGUCUAUGAGGAAAGACGAAACAUGACACGCCUGGGAACACUACAGUCGCUGCCAACAUGACACUGUACAGAUUUGCCGCGUGAUUAUCAGACGCCGCGAUGUACGUCUUAUAUAAGUUGUACGCAUUUACACCGCAGCAUUUGCCCAGGAAAGAAAUAAAAUUCCAGACAGUUUCCCGGUUUUUCCCGGACCCUUUCAAAUUCCCGACAUAUUCCCGGUUUUUCCCGUUUUCCCGGUUUGGUGGCCACCCUGUUCUUUGUCGCGUCACAAAAUAGUCAUGCUUGGCAGUGAUAGCCCUAAUGUUAAUAAAAUGGUGGAGCGGCUAAUCAAUGAGCAGUUAAUUGCUGUUAGGAAUAAAGGUGUGGUAAACUUAGGGACAUGUAAUAUUCACAUAUUACAUAAUGCAUUUCUGAGAGGCAUUGGGAAAUUUGGUGAGGAUGCAUCAGAUUUGGUGAUUGCUGUCCACGAUUUCUUCAGCGGCUGGCCAGCUAGGUGUGAGGACUACAGCACUGUGCAAAGUGAGCUGAAUAUUCCCCACCACAACUUCAUGAAACAUGUUUCUUCGAGGUGGCUUACACUUGAAAGUGCAGCAAUACGAUUGGUAGAACAGUGGGAUGCUGUGAUGAAAUACUUUUUGUCGUUUGUCCCAAAGAAAAGGAAUGACCUUAUCAAAAGCAUGAAGUACAGAAAAAUAACGGAGCUUCUCAAGAAGAAAACUAUGAAGGCCGAAGUUUUGUUUGUUUGCUCAAGUGCACGUGUGUUCAUGCGUUUCACUGGUGUUUUUCAAAAAGAAUAACCAAUGAUUCAUGUAAUGUAUGAUCAACUUUACACACUGAUAACAAGUUUAAUGGGGAAAGUGUGUAAACCUGCUGCUAUUAAAGAAUUUGGUGUUAAUGAAGAAGUUCUUAAAUUAGAAAAUCUUCUUCCUGCCAGUAGAAUUCAGGUGUCUGAUGAUGUUUCACUGGAAAUAUCUAAGUUGGAUGAAAGAGAUCGUCUAGAAUUCCUCAGCAUGGGUCAGAAACACAUUGUACAAGCCUGUUCGUACAUAAUUACUAAAUCCUCUUUACGGACAAAACCUUUGCUGAGACACUUGCGCUUCCUGCAACCACAGGAAAGAACUUCUCAGCAAAGUUGCUUGGACAUUGUUGCUGUUGCAAAGUGUCUGCCCAUGGAUGUUGACACAGAUGUGCUUUUAGAUGAGUGGAAGUUGCUUCAGCACGAGACAGUAACCAACAGCGAAGAUCGCAUUGAUAGUUAUUGGGGGCAAUGUUUUGAUAUCAAAAGUAGCUUAAGGGUUCUGAAGUAUCCGAAUGUGUGUGCAGUAGUCAAGGCAGUACUAUUAACUCUUUCCCACAGUAAUGCAGAUGUAGAGCGUGGUUUCUCUGUUUCCUGUAAAGAUAAGGGAUCUAUGUCUGAAAGGACAUUAAAUGCGGCUUUAACUGUUAAAAGUGGUAUGAAGAUGUUUCACAUGAAACCACAGUUGAUAAUGUUACGAAAGAGCUCAUGUCAAUGGCCCGCAGUGCUCAUGCCAGUUAUCAGUCAUAUUUGGAAAGGAAAAGGAAGGCCUCAGAAGAGGAAGCAAAACAAAAUGUAGAGUCUGUAGAAAAAUGAAUUGCAGAGGAACUAAAGGAAAAAAACCAACUUCAAGAAAGAGAGACCAUUUCAGCUGCAGAAGAGAAACUGAAAAAUUUGAAAAAAGAAAAACGAAUGGCUACAGAUAAAUUGUUUGAAGAAGCAAAUGUUAGGUUAAAAAAGGCUAUUGCGCAGAAAAACAUGACAGAAAUAGUGUUAGCACAAGCUAUGCUGGAAGGUGUAAUAAGCGUCAGGAAAGAAUAAUGUGAGAAAAAACAGGAGGCUUAAGCAGUGCAAAAGUCAAUUGAAAAAUGAAAAACAAGAAUUAUAUGAUUGGAUUAUUUUUCAAAAAAACUAGGGAUGGGUCGAUUCGAUUCUCCGAUUCCUAGAUACCACCGAUUAUUAAAAAAUUUGGGUACUCAGUAUCGGGUACUAAAAAAGGGCAAGGUAGGUUAGGUAUCGGUUAAGUUAAUUAAGCAAAUAAAUACAGUAGUAUUAUAUUUUCGUGAGCUUUUCUUACAUAUUUUAAUAUAUCUUACCUGCCGUAUGCGCAUAAAAUUCCUAAUAAUGCUCAUUAUUAUUAAAUAUUAAUUUUAUAAGAGUAAAAUUAAAAAAUAAAAACAAUGUUACCGGGCAUGUUUAACCUCUAAUUAAAACUCCACGAUCGAAGAACUUUAUUCCUCACUCAUGUAUUAGACGUAAAUAAAUUGUAAAAAGACUAAUUAAUUUUAUUUACAGUUAAGAAAAGUCAAUUGUUUUUUGUUAAGAAAGUGACGGUUAUGAAACGAGAUCACAUCACGUGUCGUCACCAUUUUAGUUGUGAUCCAUUCUAGGGAUAUUCGAUAUACAUCGAUGUAUUGAAAACAUUGAUGUUUACAAUGUGAUACAUCGGAAUGAUCCGAUGUUUUGAAAUGCUUUCGAUAUACUCGAUGUAUCAAUGUUUUUUCAGUUUUUAGAAGGAAAACAUCGAAUCGAAUUUAACCAAUUAAUUUCAUAAAAACUCAAGUUUGACCACUAAAAUUUUACCUAAAAUCUCUUCUUAUUUGUUUAUUAUUCAAUAGUGGACUGACAAUAUAAUGCAGUCGCGGCCGACGUAUACUAAAAAAUUGUUUUGGCAGCACUACGCACGAGUCAGUGACAGUAAAAAAAAACUGUUUAGUGUUUAUGUUAUGUCACAGUGUCAGUAAUCAGUAAUCUGUCGUCGUGUCGUGUUUAAAAAUAACGAAUAACAAAUUGAAUUACAUUUGGUUUUGUGGACGAAAUAAGAUUGAAGUGGAUUGUGUAUAGUUAUAUAUUAAUAUACCUACUCAAUAUAAUGAAAUCUCAUCUUUUUGUGAGAUCACAUAUUCAAUUGGACUGAGGUAAGUAAGGAAGGUUAUAAUUAUGUUGUAGUUCAUUUAUUAUCAUGUCAACAAGAGUAACAAUAAAAUCAGUAAUUUACUGAAUAACAGAAUAAACAGUGUUAGUAAUUAGAUUAGUAAAUUACUUUACCUGUAACACACAUAUUAUUUAUUAACCUACAUCGUUACAUUUAUCGGGACUAUUCUACUUUGCGAUACCAUAACAAUAUUGAUGAUGUCACCAAGAUGGCGUCGCUUACGUCAUUACCACCCCUACUUUCUUUCGGGAGAAGCGCGGGAACAUGGGGGUUUUGGGCGGGGAACAAUAAACACACUAUUUUUCACGCAUUUCAUUUUUUAAAUAAUAUUUUUUCGCGGUAUCAUAAACUAGAAUAUAAUCCCACCCGCUCUCUUCUUUUUUGCGAUACCACCGGUAUUGCUAAAUAGAAUUGACCGGAUGGGACUAUAUUCUAGUUCACGAUACCGGAUACCGCGAAUAUAUUUUAUUGAAAUUACUCCAAAUCAAUAAAAUAAAUUCUGGUAUCGCAAAAUAGAAUUGACCGGGUGGGACUGUAUUCCAUUUCACGAUACCGCGAAUAUAUAUUUUUUAAAUUAUCACUUUCUAAGAAAUAUUUUCCGGUAUCGCGAAAAGAAUUGACCGGUGGGACAGUAUGCUAUUUCACGAUACCGCGAAUAUAUUUUAAUGAAUUAAAAGAAUUGCAGGAUCGUGAAUUAGAAUAGUCAAAUUAAUUUCGUGAAUAAAACUACUUCUUAAAUCAACGAACAUUACACAUCACACGCAGUUUCGUAACCGCCAUCACUUCCACUAACUGUAACUAUUUUGCAAACAAAUGAACAACGGCAAAUCAAAAAUACCUACCCACUUCACUACUACCAACACUUUAAACUUAAACUUCUACUUGUUACCAAUCUCAUUUGCCUACAUAUAUAACGUCAUACAUUUUCCCUCCGGGGUUCUCAACCAAUAGAAACGCCGGUAUCGAAUAAUAGAAAAGACCCCAUUUAUCUAGCAAACUCAUUUCACCAAAUUGUAAACCUAUAUUCAUUUAUAAAACAAUAGGUAUAUUAAUUGAUGAAAUCAAGGAAUCUAUUCAUCAUAAUAUUAGUCUGAAUCAUUCUGUAAUGAGGUAUUAAAUUUAUUUGUGUGUUAUGAUAGUGAUGUGACAUGUUUGAUUGAUGAAUUUAUCGAUUUUAACUACUAUAAUAAAUGAACUUUUUUUUAUUUCAGUCUGACAACACAUACGAUGGCACCUUCCAAGAAGAGUGAUGAAUGGAGGUUUUACGAUAAAACUGAAGGAAACAAUAACUGUGCAAAAUGUAGACUCUGUCAAAAAUUAAUCAAAUCUUGUGGCAAUACAACUAAUUUAAUUGGCCAUUUAAAAAAUAUACAUAAGGCUGCUUUUCAAGAGUUCAAUAAUGGAUGUUCUAAAAAAUCCGAUAUUCAGAGCAACACAAUUAAGAAAAAUAUACAAUUAGUCCCCAAUAGCUCUGAUCCACUACCAUCAACAUCAACGAGUUCUGCUGGAAUAAUGGAGAUGGAAUCGACUAGUGAUGCCGAUAAAAAAUGUGACUCUUCAAAAGAUGAUGUAUGUGUUUCUAUCCCUCCAGCUCCAAAACGUCAGAAGUCUAUUGUGUCAAGUUUUGAAGAAAUUAACGCUUUUUCAGAGAGAGGUGAUAAAACAUUAAGAAUUAACAACGCCCUAAUAUAUUUGAUGUGUAAAGACAAUCAACCAUUUACAAUUGUUGAAAAUGAAGGCUUUCGCAGUUUGAUUAAAGUUCUUGCGUCACAUUAUAAACUACCUAGUAAAACAACGUUGACUCGAUGGGUUGAUGAUAAAUACGCAGCAUUAUCAACAGUCUUCAAAGAUAAGUUGUCUAAUAUUGAAUACGUUACUCUUACUACUGACAUGUGGUCUGAAACAAUGAGCAUGAGAAGUUUUUUAGGAAUAACAGCACACUUCGGUGAAGGUAAAGAUCUUUUUUUCAAUCACUCUUGGAGUGUACGAGUCAAACGAACGCCAUACUUCAGAACACAUAGCUGAAAUGCUGCUGAAAACUUGUGCUGAAUGGGGUAUAGAUAGUGACAAAGUUUCAACUGUAGUCACAGAUAACACAGCUAACAUGGUAAAAGCUGUUGAUUUAGCUUUUGGAAAAAAGCAUAUACCAUGUUUCGCACAUACAUUGAAUUUGGUUGCACACAAUGCUAUACAGCAGUGUACUAAUCUGCAAAA